AGCUAGACUUGGGCCAGGCGCGAGAACCGAAAUCCGCAGAAGUCCGGGCCCGCUGGAAUCAUCCUAGGAGGGGCCAGCAGAGCUGGCAUUCCUGACACUAGCCCCGGGCGGCUGACGGCACCGGUCCUCUGCCGCUGGAGAGCAGUGCCGCGGGCUCACGUGCGCUGAGGCUUCCCGGGCCUGGCUGUACUGGCCUUGCCCUCCGCACCUGCCCCGCUCCAACUAGUGCCCAGCGCUGAGCCGUCCUCUCCUCCAGCCCUGACCAGGACCUCUCGCUUCCCUGCCUGCUCCCCGAUCUAAGCAGGCCUUUGCGGUUUACGGAAGGGAACGUUGUCACCUGCUGCUUGUCUUCUGAUCAGCGUAGGAAUGAAGAGGGCGGCGGGGGUCGCGCGGACCUGGGCUCCGCCAGACCAGUCACUCCGCUCAGACCUGCUCGCACAGCCGCCCUGGGCCUCAGUUUACAAUCUGUGCAGCGGAGAUGACAGUGGUCCUCAUCUCUGGGGUGUCGAGGAGAUGAGACAGCACACCGAGUCGGUGGGAGCCUUACGGACCGCGCACCAGGAGCGCGGAGAGGGGACCUCUCCAACAGUUACCAGGACCAGCACACCGAAGCAGGCAGAGGAGCAGAGCCAGCACGUGCAGGUGGCCGGGAACUGCAUUUAUCAAAAAAACCCUGUGUGGCCUCGUGGAAACCCUUCUGCUAUCCCGAUUUGAGUGAGAAUCAAAGUGAUCACAAGUAAAGGCUCUGGAGCAGGCGAGGUCAGACUGAUGGGGGCCACGAUCGAUCCACAAAGUGCCUGGCGCUGCUGUGCUGGACCAAAGGGCUCCAGUCUCUGAAGGUAGCACCGUCCUGCUGGGCAGGAUGAGAGCAAGAUGAAGCUGGGUUACCUCCUGGGCUGAAGGUUGAGGAGAGGCACCUCAAGCCCCAGGCUUCAAGCUGGACCUGGCCUAGCCCGUUGCCAAUGCCGUAUUAGGGUCCACAGGCAGGUGACAAACACAGCAGCCUCCACUGUCACAGGCUCCCACCCAGCAUCACCUCCCCCUCCACGCUCCAUGUGGGGGAGGCUGCCCAGACUUCAGGAGAAGGGCAGGGUGGGGAGGAGCUCGAGCUGAGGGGCAGCCCUGCACACCCUGGCUGCGGGACUCUCUUUUUCCAGCCAGAUAAUAAAACCUACAGUGGGAAAUACUCAUACGCCAAACCCAUCCCGUUCCUAGGUCUGUAGGCAACAGCUGUCUGUGAGUGUGUGAGAAAAGACCAAUUAAACCACACAGAAGUAUCUUCCAUAGUAGGCAAAAUAUGGGAGCAACGCAAUCUCCAUUAACAGUGGUGGGGACAAAAGGCACUUGUCCGUGCGAGUGCCCUAUCCUCAGUUUCUGAGCACCCUUGUCCAGAAUCAAUUAACCAUGCAUCUCAGACUUUAUUUCCACACUCUCAAUGUCAAAUUUACUACCUGUUCCAUAUUGUCUUAGUCAUACAACUUUCAUUUUGAAAUGAAGAAGGGUGCAUGUGCAAAAUUUGUUCAUUACUUCUCAAAAUUGCUUUUAGUUACUCUGGAUCCUUGUAAUUCCAUUAUGACUUCUGCAAUCAGCUUGUUGAUAUCUGCAAAGAAAUGACUGAGUUAAUCUAUUGAUAACUCUAGGAAAUACAUUUUAACAAUACUUUUACCUAUCGAUAAUAUGGUGUGUCUUUCCUUUUAGUUAAGUCUUUAUUAUUUCAAAAUGUUUUGUAGUUUUCAAAAUCUAAUACUUGUUUCUUUGCUAAAUCUAUUCUUAAGUACUUUAUUCUUUUUGGUGCUAUUACACAUGGAAUUGUUUUCCUGUUUUUUUUUUUUGUUUUCCUAAUUUAAGUUUCUAUUCCAUUA
ensembl:lincRNA